rnacentral:rRNA from 1 species
UACAGAGGGUGCGAGCGUGUCCGGAAUUAUUGGGCGUAAAGAGCUCGUAGGCGGUCUGUUGCGUCCGCUGUGAAAACUCGGGGCUUAACCCCGAGCCUGCAGUGGAUACGGGCAGACUAGAGGUAGGUAGGGGAGAAUGGAAUUCCCGGUGUAGCGGUGAAAUGCGCAGAUAUCGGGAGGAACACCGGUGGCGAAGGCGGUUCUCUGGGCCUUACCUGACGCUGAGGCGC